rnacentral:rRNA from 1 species
UACGUAGGGUCCGAGCGUUGUCCGGAAUUAUUGGGCGUAAAGAGCUCGUAGGCGGUUUGUCGCGUCUGCUGUGAAAUCCCGAGGCUCAACCUCGGGCCUGCAGUGGGUACGGGCAGACUGGAGUGCGGUAGGGGAGAAUGGAAUUCCUGGUGUAGCGGUGGAAUGCGCAGAUAUCAGGAGGAACACCGAUGGCGAAGGCAGUUCUCUGGGCCGUAACUGACGCUGAGGAGCGAAAGCGUGGGGAGCGAACCGG